GGGCCAGUUUUAAUGUCAAGGUCGACGGACUCAUAUUGAAACCUAGUGAUUUAUGAGUUAGUGGCGGACGGGUGAGUACCUCGUGGAUAACCUGCCGUAUACCGGGGGAUAACACUUACAUAUAGGUGCUAAUACCGCAUAAGCGCACGGCUCCGCAUGGGGCAGUGUGAAAAACUCCGGUGGUAUACGAUGGAUCCGCGUCUGACUAGCUAGUUGGCGGGGUAACGGCCCACCAAGGCAGCGAUCAGUAGCCGGCCUGAGAGGGUGGACGGCCACAUUGGGACUGAGACACGGCCCAAACUCCUACGGGAGGCAGCAGUGGGGAAUAUUGCACAAUGGGGGAAACCCUGAUGCAGCGACGCCGCGUGAGUGAAGAAGUAUCUCGGUACGUAAAGCUCUAUCAGCAGGGAAGAAAAUGACGGUACCUGACCAAGAAGCCCCGGCUAACUACGUGCCAGCAGCCGCGGUAAUACGUAGGGGGCAAGCGUUAUCCGGAUUUACUGGGUGUAAAGGGAGCGUAGACGGCAAUACAAGUCGGAAGUGAAAUACCCGGGCUCAACCUGGGAACUGCUUUGGAAACUGUAUGGCUGGAGUGCUGGAGAGGUAAGCGGAAUUCCUAGUGUAGCGGUGAAAUGCGUAGAUAUUAGGAGGAACACCAGUGGCGAAGGCGGCUUACUGGACAGUAACUGACGUUGAGGCUCGAAAGCGUGGGGAGCAAACAGGAUUAGAUACCCUGGUAGUCCACGCUGUAAACGAUGAAUACUAGGUGUUGGGUGCCAAANGCUCCCGGUGCCGUCGCA
rnacentral:rRNA from 1 species